GACGAACCGUGCGAGCGUUAUUCGGAAUCACUGGGCUUAAAGCGCGUGUAGGCGGAUGGGAACGUCGGUCGCUGAAAUCCCCCGGCUCAACCGGGGAACGGGCGCCGAAACGACCCGGCUGGAGGGACGUAGGGGGACCUGGAACUUCCGGUGGAGCGGUGAAAUGCGUUGAGAUCGGAAGGAACACCCGUGGCGAAAGCGAGGUCCUGGACGGCUACUGACGCUGAGACGCGAAAGCUAGGGUAGCGAACGGG
rnacentral:rRNA from 1 species